rnacentral:rRNA from 1 species
UACAGAGGGGGCAAGCGUUGUUCGGAAUUACUGGGCGUAAAGGGCUCGUAGGCGGCCCUCUCAGUCGGAUGUGAAAUCCCCAGGCUCAACCUGGGAAUGGCAUCCGAUACUGGAGGGCUUGAAUCCGGGAGAGGGAUGCAGAAUUCCAGGUGUAGCGGUGAAAUGCGUAGAUAUCUGGAGGAACACCCGUGGUGCAGACGGCUUGCUGGACCGUGACUGACGCUGAGGCACGAAAGCGUGGGUAGCAAACAGG